rnacentral:lncRNA from 1 species
UCAAAUAGCUGCAAAUAUUAAAGGAUGUGACCAGCUGUAUAGGAGGAUUUUAUUCUUUCCAUGGUUUACUUGACAUGGGGCACUGACUCUCAGGCUUCUCCCACCUCAACCCCCAGCUUUGCACUGGAAAGAACAGGCAACAUCACUGCCGGAAGCCAGGAGAUGUGUUUAAAUCACUCUCCACAGCACACCUUCUGUGAAUCAAGAUACCGCUUCACAACUUCAUUAACACGAGAAGCAGCCAUGUCGACAAAUGUGAAUGAUGUGAUUGUUGAAAACAAAUCCUCUUCUCUUUCAGAUUUUAUUACCUUCAUUUAUCAGAUAAUGAGGAGGAUCAAUUUCCUGGUUCUUGCUUCACAAAUUUAGGAGGAAGAAAAACUUUCCUAACACAGAGUGCAUAAAUCCCACAGGACCUUCGUGGAAAGAAGAGGACAUCAGACCAUACAGUAGAAAUCAGCUUCUUCUGGAUCUUAUGGCCAUCAUAACACCUGGACACCCUGUCACUCCUCAGCUCCAAAACAGACACAUAUCUAUUGCUGAUAUCUUGCAUUCCUAUGCCCUGUUUGAAUAUGCCAAACGUUGCCUGGGUGUAUGCCUGUAAAUUCUUACAAGGAUUGAAGAGAUUGUUUUAUUAACACUGAUUUCCAGGAGAAAAUUUUCCAUCU